rnacentral:lncRNA from 1 species
UUAUGUCGGUGGCCAUGGUGGAGGUGGUUUUGGAGUCGACCUCAUCGUGAGGGAGGUACGAAUCAAGGUUUCCAGAAUUUAGAAUCGAGGUUUGGGAGGUAGCUGCCAACCUUCGAACCCGAGAAUGAAUUGGAGCCAGUAUUCAUCUAUUUUGUGCUGCCGAGACUUCCAAACGAAGCCGUUUCGGAGUUCGAGUGCGGGUCGGAGGUGGGCUCGACGAUGCCGUUUUGGAGUAGAAAUCGAGAUUGGUGUUUUCUGAUGAAGAAGACGUCGGAGAUGGCGUGAAGCUGGUUGAGUGAUUUUUUUGUUUAUUUUGGAGAAGAUGGCUUUUUUGAAAAGGUGAAGGAUUGAAUUGAAUUUUUUUGAAAACUUCAUUUUGGGCCAUAUUGAAUUUGGGGGUGAAUCUGUAAUUUUUGAAAUUUAUAAUUUCA